UACGUAGGGGGCAAGCGUUGUCCGGAAUCAUUGGGCGUAAAGAGCGUGUAGGCGGCCAGAUAAGUCCGCUGUGAAAUCUCGAGGCUCAACUUCGAGCUGUCGGUGGAAACUGUCUGGCUAGAGUCCGGAAGAGGAGAAUGGAAUUCCUGGUGUAGCGGUGAAAUGCGCAGAUAUCAGGAAGAACACCCGUGGCGAAGGCGGUUCUCUGGGACGGUACUGACGCUGAGGAGCGAAAGCGUGGGUAGCGAACAGG
rnacentral:rRNA from 1 species